ACGCCACAUCUGCGAGAUGUACAAGAAGACUGAUGCAUACGUCGGGACAACGGAAGAGACUCUGACACGAGGGGCAUGGAGAAACCUGUUUUUUUUGUUGUUUUUUGAGGUUGUUCAUCGUUAAAGUACCAGUCUAAGGAGCUUGGAAAGAUGAGCUUCUAGAACUUGUAUGUGAGGAGCAGGAGCUCCCUGAACGAGAACCCCGGCCACGUCGUCAUUUUUUUGAGGUUGUCCGUCGACAAUGUACCAGUCUAAGGAGCUUGGAAAGAUGAGCUUCUAGAACUUGUAUGUGAGGAGCAGGAGCUCCCUGAACGAGAACCCCGGCCACGUCGUCAUUUUUUUGAGGUUGUCCGUCGUCAAUGUACCAGUCUAAGGAGCUUGGAAAGAUGAGCUUCUAGAACUUGUAUGUGAGGAGCAGGAGCUCCCUGAACGAGAACCCCGGCCACGUCGUCAUUUUUUGAGGUUGUCCGUCGACAAUGUACCAGUCUAAGGAGCUUGGAAAGAUGAGCUUCUAGAACUUAUAUGUGAGGAGCAGGAGCUCCCUGAAGGAGAACCCCGGCCACUUCGUCAUCUUCCCCUUGGAUGUCGUACCGCCACAUCUGGCAGAUGUACAAGGAUCAGUCUGAACAGCGGAGGUGGUAGCAGGAGCUGCGGCGGUAUUUGUCCUGCAGGUGUCUUGAGCGGCUUGCCAGAUGCUUUGCGGGUGCCGGCCCCGUGCGAGUGUCUUGAGCGGCUUGCCAGAUGCAGCAGAAGAGCAGCAGCUCACUGAAGGAGAAGCCCGGUCACGUUGUCAUCUUCCCCAUCGAUGUCGUACCGCCACAUCUGGCAGAUGUGCAAGAAGUCAGAGGUCCUCUUCUGGACAGCAGAGGAGGCCAGAGUGAAGAAGAAAAGCAGCAGCUCGCUGACGGAGAACCCUGGCCACGUCGUCAUCUUCCCCUUGGAUGUCGUACCGCCACAUCUGCGAGAUGUACAAGAAGACUGAUGCAUACGUCGGGACAACGGAAGAGACUCUGACACGAGGGGCAUGGAGAAACCUGUUUUUUUUGUUGUUUUUUUGAGGUUGUUCAUCGUUAAAGUACCAGUCUAAGGAGCUUGGAAAGAUGAGCUUCUAGAACUUGUAUGUGAGGAGCAGGAGCUCCCUGAACGAGAACCCCGGCCACGUCGUCAUUUUUUUGAGGUUGUCCGUCGACAAUGUACCAGUCUAAGGAGCUUGGAAAGAUGAGCUUCUAGAACUUGUAUGUGAGGAGCAGGAGCUCCCUGAACGAGAACCCCGGCCACGUCGUCAUUUUUUUGAGGUUGUCCGUCGUCAAUGUACCAGUCUAAGGAGCUUGGAAAGAUGAGCUUCUAGAACUUGUAUGUGAGGAGCAGGAGCUCCCUGAACGAGAACCCCGGCCACGUCGUCAUUUUUUUGAGGUUGUCCGUCGACAAUGUACCAGUCUAAGGAGCUUGGAAAGAUGAGCUUCUAGAACUUGUAUGUGAGGAGCAGGAGCUCCCUGAACGAGAACCCCGGCCACGUCGUCAUUUUUUGAGGUUGUCCGUCGUCAAUGUACCAGUCUAAGGAGCUUGGAAAGAUGAGCUUCUAGAACUUGUAUGUGAGGAGCAGGAGCUCCCUGAACGAGAACCCCGGCCACGUCGUCAUUUUUUUGAGGUUGUCCGUCGACAAUGUACCAGUCUAAGGAGCUUGGAAAGAUGAGCUUCUAGAACUUGUAUGUGAGGAGCAGGAGCUCCCUGAACGAGAACCCCGGCCACGUCGUCAUUUUUUUGAGGUUGUCCGUCGACAAUGUACCAGUCUAAGGAGCUUGGAAAGAUGAGCUUCUAGAACUUGUAUGUGAGGAGCAGGAGCUCCCUGAACGAGAACCCCGGCCACGUCGUCAUUUUUUUGAGGUUGUCCGUCGUCAAUGUACCAGUCUAAGGAGCUUGGAAAGAUGAGCUUCUAGAACUUAUAUGUGAGGAGCAGGAGCUCCCUGAAGGAGAACCCCGGCCACUUCGUCAUCUUCCCCUUGGAUGUCGUACCGCCACAUCUGGCAGAUGUACAAGGAUCAGUCUGAACAGCGGAGGUGGUAGCAGGAGCUGCGGCGGUAUUUGUCCUGCAGGUGUCUUGAGCGGCUUGCCAGAUGCUUUGCGGGUGCCGGCCCCGUGCGAGUGUCUUGAGCGGCUUGCCAGAUGCUUUGCCGGUUGCAGCAGAAGAGCAGCAGCUCACUGAAGGAGAAGCCCGGUCACGUUGUCAUCUUCCCCAUCGAUGUCGUACCGCCACAUCUGGCAGAUGUGCAAGAAGUCAGAGGUCCUCUUCUGGACAGCAGAGGAGGCCAGAGUGAAGAAGAAAAGCAGCAGCUCGCUGACGGAGAACCCUGGCCACGUCGUCAUCUUCCCCUUGGAUGUCGUACCGCCACAUCUGCGAGAUGUACAAGAAGACUGAUGCAUACGUCGGGACAACGGAAGAGACUCUGACACGAGGGGCAUGGAGAAACCUGUUUUUUUUGUUUUUUUGAGGUUGUUCAUCGUUAAAGUACCAGUCUAAGGAGCUUGGAAAGAUGAGCUUCUAGAACUUGUAUGUGAGGAGCAGGAGCUCCCUGAACGAGAACCCCGGCCACGUCGUCAUUUUUUUGAGGUUGUCCGUCGACAAUGUACCAGUCUAAGGAGCUUGGAAAGAUGAGCUUCUAGAACUUAUAUGUGAGGAGCAGGAGCUCCCUGAAGGAGAACCCCGGCCACUUCGUCAUCUUCCCCUUGGAUGUCGUACCGCCACAUCUGGCAGAUGUACAAGGAUCAGUCUGAACAGCGGAGGUGGUAGCAGGAGCUGCGGCGGUAUUUGUCCUGCAGGUGUCUUGAGCGGCUUGCCAGAUGCUUUGCGGGUGCCGGCCCCGUGCGAGUGUCUUGAGCGGCUUGCCAGAUGCAGCAGAAGAGCAGCAGCUCACUGAAGGAGAAGCCCGGUCACGUUGUCAUCUUCCCCAUCGAUGUCGUACCGCCACAUCUGGCAGAUGUGCAAGAAGUCAGAGGUCCUCUUCUGGACAGCAGAGGAGGCCAGAGUGAAGAAGAAAAGCAGCAGCUCGCUGACGGAGAACCCUGGCCACGUCGUCAUCUUCCCCUUGGAUGUCGUACCGCCACAUCUGCGAGAUGUACAAGAAGACUGAUGCAUACGUCGGGACAACGGAAGAGACUCUGACACGAGGGGCAUGGAGAAACCUGUUUUUUUUGUUGUUUUUUGAGGUUGUUCAUCGUUAAAGUACCAGUCUAAGGAGCUUGGAAAGAUGAGCUUCUAGAACUUGUAUGUGAGGAGCAGGAGCUCCCUGAACGAGAACCCCGGCCACGUCGUCAUUUUUUUGAGGUUGUCCGUCGUCAAUGUACCAGUCUAAGGAGCUUGGAAAGAUGAGCUUCUAGAACUUAUAUGUGAGGAGCAGGAGCUCCCUGAAGGAGAACCCCGGCCACUUCGUCAUCUUCCCCUUGGAUGUCGUACCGCCACAUCUGGCAGAUGUACAAGGAUCAGUCUGAACAGCGGAGGUGGUAGCAGGAGCUGCGGCGGUAUUUGUCCUGCAGGUGUCUUGAGCGGCUUGCCAGAUGCUUUGCGGGUGCCGGCCCCGUGCGAGUGUCUUGAGCGGCUUGCCAGAUGCAGCAGAAGAGCAGCAGCUCACUGAAGGAGAAGCCCGGUCACGUUGUCAUCUUCCCCAUCGAUGUCGUACCGCCACAUCUGGCAGAUGUGCAAGAAGUCAGAGGUCCUCUUCUGGACAGCAGAGGAGGCCAGAGUGAAGAAGAAAAGCAGCAGCUCGCUGACGGAGAACCCUGGCCACGUCGUCAUCUUCCCCUUGGAUGUCGUACCGCCACAUCUGCGAGAUGUACAAGAAGACUGAUGCAUACGUCGGGACAACGGAAGAGACUCUGACACGAGGGGCAUGGAGAAACCUGUUUUUUUGUUGUUUUUUUGAGGUUGUUCAUCGUUAAAGUACCAGUCUAAGGAGCUUGGAAAGAUGAGCUUCUAGAACUUGUAUGUGAGGAGCAGGAGCUCCCUGAACGAGAACCCCGGCCACGUCGUCAUUUUUUUGAGGUUGUCCGUCGACAAUGUACCAGUCUAAGGAGCUUGGAAAGAUGAGCUUCUAGAACUUGUAUGUGAGGAGCAGGAGCUCCCUGAACGAGAACCCCGGCCACGUCGUCAUUUUUUUGAGGUUGUCCGUCGUCAAUGUACCAGUCUAAGGAGCUUGGAAAGAUGAGCUUCUAGAACUUGUAUGUGAGGAGCAGGAGCUCCCUGAAGGAGAACCCCGGCCACUUCGUCAUCUUCCCCUUGGAUGUCGUACCGCCACAUCUGGCAGAUGUACAAGGAUCAGUCUGAACAGCGGAGGUGGUAGCAGGAGCUGCGGCGGUAUUUGUCCUGCAGGUGUCUUGAGCGGCUUGCCAGAUGCUUUGCGGGUGCCGGCCCCGUGCGAGUGUCUUGAGCGGCUUGCCAGAUGCUUUGCCGGUUGCAGCAGAAGAGCAGCAGCUCACUGAAGGAGAAGCCCGGUCACGUUGUCAUCUUCCCCAUCGAUGUCGUACCGCCACAUCUGGCAGAUGUGCAAGAAGUCAGAGGUCCUCUUCUGGACAGCAGAGGAGGCCAGAGUGAAGAAGAAAAGCAGCAGCUCGCUGACGGAGAACCCUGGCCACGUCGUCAUCUUCCCCUUGGAUGUCGUACCGCCACAUCUGCGAGAUGUACAAGAAGACUGAUGCAUACGUCGGGACAACGGAAGAGACUCUGACACGAGGGGCAUGGAGAAACCUGUUUUUUUUGUUGUUUUUUUGAGGUUGUUCAUCGUUAAAGUACCAGUCUAAGGAGCUUGGAAAGAUGAGCUUCUAGAACUUGUAUGUGAGGAGCAGGAACUCCCUGAAGGAGAACCCCGGCCACUUCGUCAUCUUCCCCUUGGAUGUCGUACCGCCACAUCUGGCAGAUGUACAAGGAUCAGUCUGGACAGCGGAGGUGGUAGCAGGAGCUGCGGCGGUAUUUGUCCUGCAGGUGUCUUGAGCGGCUUGCCAGAUGCUUUGCGGGUGCCGGCCCCGUGCGAGUGUCUUGAGCGGCUUGCCAGAUGCUUUGCCGGUUGCAGCAGAAGAGCAGCAGCUCACUGAAGGAGAAGCCCGGUCACGUUGUCAUCUUCCCCAUCGAUGUCGUACCGCCACAUCUGGCAGAUGUGCAAGAAGUCAGAGGUCCUCUUCUGGACAGCAGAGGAGGCCAGAGUGAAGAAGAAAAGCAGCAGCUCGCUGACGGAGAACCCUGGCCACGUCGUCAUCUUCCCCUUGGAUGUCGUACCGCCACAUCUGCGAGAUGUACAAGAAGACUGAUGCAUACGUCGGGACAACGGAAGAGACUCUGACACGAGGGGCAUGGAGAAACCUGUUUUUUUUGUUGUUUUUUUGAGGUUGUUCAUCGUUAAAGUACCAGGUAUAGAACAUUUUAAUGUUUAGUGUGUGUGUGUGUGUGAGAAGAUGUCC